GACGAACGCUGGCGGCGUGCUUAACACAUGCAAGUCGAACGAUGACGACCGAGCUUGCUCGGUCUGAUUAGUGGCGAACGGGUGAGUAACACGUGAGCAACCUGCCCUUCACUCUGGGAUAACCUCGGGAAAUCGGGGCUAAUACCGGAUAUGAGCUCCUGUCGCAUGGCGGGUGUUGGAAAGUUUUUCGGUGAAGGAUGGGCUCGCGGCCUAUCAGUUUGUUGGUGAGGUAGUGGCUCACCAAGGCGAUGACGGGUAGCCGGCCUGAGAGGGCGACCGGCCCCGCUGGGACUGAGACACGGCCCAGACUCCUACGGGAGGCAGCAGUGGGGAAUAUUGCACAAUGGGCGAAAGCCUGAUGCAGCGACGCCGCGUGAGGGAUGACGGCCUUCGGGUUGUAAACCUCUUUCAGCAGGGAAGAAGCGAAAGUGACGGUACCUGCAGAAGAAGCGCCGGCUAACUACGUG
rnacentral:rRNA from 1 species